UGCUGUGGCCCGGAGGCGGAGACCCAAUUCCUGGUGGUGGGAGUUCUUCACGACCCGUUUUGUUUGGUUUGCUGUGUCACGGGUGGUUUGCUUUAUUAAUCCCUCCCCCGUUUGUUUGCUUCUCGUCGCCGCGUCGUGUGAUGUUUACCUCAAGACAUUUCAGCUCCUCCUCUUUGAGGCGAGUAUUAGCAGCCUGCCUGCUGUACUCCAGCACCACGCAUCCAGUGCCGAUGAGGAAGAUGAUGGCCUCUCCCAGCAACUCUGCACCCAGCUCCACAGCCUUGUCCUCAUUCAGCGGCUUAAUGGUGGAGCCCCGGAAGCCCAUGAUCCUCAUCUUGGUUCUCAUCUCGACCCAGUGGUAAACUGUGAGGAAAAUGAACAUACAGUACACAAGCAUAUGGAAGUUAGGCUUUCAAUAAAAAAAUACUUCGGUUGCUCAAAUGUGCUGAAUGAUACACCUGCAAAUACAUUUACUAAGACCGUUGUCUGUUGCAAUGUUUUGUGUGAAUAAUAGAAAUGUCUAUGAAAAUCAUUGGUAAUUAUUUAGAGCAAGAGGUUGUUUUGCUUAAAGUUCU